rfam:Heterocephalus glaber contig168510, whole genome shotgun sequence.
CCAAAGGCUCUUUUAAGAGCCACCCAAUUAUUUCAAGGAAAAUAGCU